rnacentral:rRNA from 1 species
GACGAACGCUGGCGGCGUGCCUAACACAUGCAAGUCGAGCGGAAAGGCCCUUCGGGGUACUCGAGCGGCGAACGGGUGAGUAACACGUGAGGAACCUGCCCUGGACUUUGGGAUAACCCUCGGAAACGGGGGCUAAUACCGAAUACGACACGGUCUCGCAUGGGAUCCGUGUGGAAAGUUUUUCGGUCUGGGAUGGUCUC